CCAGCAGGCCACCAGCACAGGGGAUGCCCGCCGGCAAUGUGGACUCCUCACAGGUGACAUCGCCUGGGUGCUCUGACCCCACGGAAAAAGGAACCGUCAGCGUGGGGCGGCAGAGAUGCUGGUCUCCCUUCUAGGAUGUCACUGCUCGGAACAAGUGGGGUCUGCUUUGCCCACAGGCUGGCCCAGGGCUCAGCUUAGAGCAGGUGCAGGCAGAUGACCUGGGACCAGGCUAGUCUGUGCCUGGGGACAUGCUUAGAACCGGCCGUGUCAUCAACUGCUCAGGAGUGGCCCCGGCGUCCAGCUCGCUGCCAAUCUCCCCUGGCCUUCCGCCACUUUCAGGGAGGAGAGAGGAAGAUGAACAGUCUAACAGCAUGCUGUGUGACUUGCAGGCCAAGUUGUUUGGAGGGCAGCCUCUUUCCCCCAAGCCUGGCCACCAGGGCUGGUCACACCUGGGGCAUGUGUGCAGUGAGGAGCCACUGGUGGGUGCUGCAGAUGGGUGCUGGGGCGUCUCCUGUGUGAGUCUGGGGGACCCUCUGUCUGGAAGCAUCUGCUGGAAGGCCACAGGACCAGAGACGCCCAGGGUGGAGACGUCCGCCACCUAGUGAGGCCUGGGCAGUGUGCACCUGGCAGGACACUGGGGAUGGUCUGGACUUUCAUCUCUCUUAGCCACAUGUUCCAGGGUCACCUGCUUGUCCUGUGGCAGCAUUGUCCGCAGAACAUGGGGAAGUGUAUUUGACCAAGGCCCAUCCACCCAGAGACAGGUGUCAGCCAAGGGCCCCUCAGUUCAGCCAGAGUCAGCAAAACACAAGUUGCUGCCACACUGUACUGGAACCCUGACAGCAACUCUGGGCCAGAGCAGCCCCCAUGGCCACCAGCUGGUAGAUGCAUGAAACAUCUGGUCCACGUGUGCAAGAGUGGUGUGCCGCCGUGCGAGGAGUGAGCCACAUCACACCUGCAGUGUGGACAAACCUCGGAGGCAGCAGUCCCGAGAGACACGCCAGACACAAAGGCUCCUUCUCUGUGGUGUCCAACGACAGAGACAGAAGCAGAGGGGCAGCUGCCCCAGGACUGGCAAGGAGUGACUACUAGU